AGUUUAGUGAAAUUAUACUGAAUUAAUUCUGCCCAGUGUCAAAAAUUAGAUAAAUGGCCGCAGUACCCNGACUGUGCUAAGGUAGCAUAAUCAAUUGGCUUUUAAUUGAAGUCUGGAAUGAAAGGAUAAAUGGGAUUUUUCUGUCUUUAAGAUAUUAAUAUAAAUUUAUUUAAAAGGUGAAAAUACCUUUUUAAAGAAAAAAGACGAGAAGACCCUAAGAAUUUUUAAGAUUAAAAUUUUUCUUUUAAUUUUUUUGNUGGGGCGACAAUUUAGAAAAAAUUAACCUAAAUUAUUUAAUAAGGCGAAAUUUUUAAGUAAAAUAAAAUUACCUUAGGGAUAACAGC
rnacentral:rRNA from 1 species